AGCAUGGGUCUUGACCUGGUGAAGGGAACCGUCCGCAAUAACUUGGAGGCUGGAGUAAUUGAGCCUGCAAUGAGCAAAGUAAAGAUAAUACAGUUUGCCACUGAAGCUGCUAUAACUAUUCUUCGAAUCGAUGACAUGAUAAAGCUUGUCAAAGAUGAAAGCCAAAAUGAAGAGGAUUGAGGACUCGCUGUAUAACUGGUCUUGCGCUGGCCAGAGUGAACUAACUGGAGUCUUAGAUAGAUUUGUUUGAUUUGUAUGCAUUUGAGGAAGUUGAUUCUCAGGGAUGGACAGAUGAGCCAGAAUUCCAAAGGUUUAAUUAUAGUAUUUUUGUGUGUUCAAUUCGGAUAUAUCUGUAUAUCAUUUGCGGUACUCAGUGUAACAGUUUUUACACGUUUAAGUAUGUAAUUUGGAACCAUCAUUGAUGAUU